rnacentral:rRNA from 1 species
GCAUGGCUGUCGUCAGCUCGUGUCGUGAGAUGUUGGGUUAAGUCCCGCAACGAGCGCAACCCUUGCCUCCUGUUGCUAACGAGUAAAGUCGAGCACUCUGGAGAGACUGCCGGUGAUAAACCGGAGGAAGGUGGGGAUGACGUCAAGUCCUCAUGGCCUUUAUGCCCCGGGCUACACACGUGCUACAAUGGCUGGUACAAAGGGUUGCAAAGCCGCGAGGUGGAGCUAAUCCCAAAAAGCCAGUCCCAGUUCGGAUUGCAGUCUGCAACUCGACUGCAUGAAGUUGGAAUCGCUAGUAAUCGCGGAUCAGCACGCCGCGGUGAAUACGUUCCCGGG